AUUGAACGCUGGCGGCAGGCCUAACACUUGCAAGUCGAGCGGAUGAAGGGAGCUUGCUCCUGGAUUCAGCGGCGGACGGGUGAGUAAUGCCUAGGAAUCUGCCUGGUAGUGGGGGAUAACGUCCGGAAACGGGCGCUAAUACCGCAUACGUCCUGAGGGAGAAAGUGGGGGAUCUUCGGACCUCACGCUAUCAGAUGAGCCUAGGUCGGAUUAGCUAGUUGGUGGGGUAAAGGCCUACCAAGGCGACGAUCCGUAACUGGUCUGAGAGGAUGAUCAGUCACACUGGAACUGAGACACGGUCCAGACUCCUACGGGAGGCAGCAGUGGGGAAUAUUGGACAAUGGGCGAAAGCCUGAUCCAGCCAUGCCGCGUGUGUGAAGAAGGUCUUCGGAUUGUAAAGCACUUUAAGUUGGGAGGAAGGGCAGUAAGUUAAUACCUUGCUGUUUUGACGUUACCAACAGAAUAAGCACCGGCUAACUUCGUG
rnacentral:rRNA from 1 species